GUGCUUGUUUGGUGUCACAUGUACCAAUAUUUAAUCUGCACAGAGAAGAUUAGUAUGGCCCAGGGACAAGAUGACACACAAAUCCAUGGAGAUAUCAGAUGUUCUG